ensembl:lncRNA
UGACAACCUUGUUGAAAAUCAUUUGACUAUAUACAGUAGGGUUUGUUUUGGGGCGCUCUCUUCUUUUCCAUUGCUAUAGCAAGGUUUGAAAUCCGUCUAGUCACCCCCUUUUUGUCCACCACUCUGCUAUCUUGAACUGAAAUCUGAUUCUGUUAAUCCCUUGCUAAAAAUGUAUUUAUGUAGCAUUAAAGGCUCUGCAGAGCUAGACUCAACCUAUUCUUAGUCUUUCUCCCUAUCAUAACCCCAUUCUCUCUUCCCUACAUUGUCUACUCAUCCCACAGAAUCACUCCAGAACAUAAUAUAUACCUACACAACAUCUGCUAAAUUCUAUCUGCACCUUCCUUUAUUCUCUUUCCCACCCUCCACCCACACAUGGCAGUUACUUUUUACUCCUAUAGAAUUUUGUUACUAUCAGAGUCAUUAUCGCAUCAUAUCAUAACAAAUUAGAUACGCAUACCUGCUCCUACCCAGUAAAAGCUGAGCUUCUUGAUGGCCUUUCAAAGAAUAAUUUCUUUGUGCUCGCCUUGCCCAGAGAUAUCACCCCUAUUGCAACUGCACAGAGAAAGUGGUGUUAACAUGUAUACAACAUAAGGCUAGAUAUUGCAUGUGCAUUUCAUUAAUCUUCAGAACAGUCCUGUGAGACAUGUGACAUAUGACGAAACCAAGGCUUAGAAAUGUUUGGUUACACAGCUAACUAGUUGUCAGAACUAGGAUUCCAAACUCAUAGUCAUCUGGCCAUGAGCCAUGCUGUGAUCACUAAGCUAUGAAGACACUAAAGAAAGAAAGGUGGUUAGUGAAAUACAAUAGGGUAUGCUGAUUAACCUACUUUCUUUUAGGCCUGAACAUGAUUUUAUCACAGCCUCCAAAGUUGAUCAGACAUAGAGUUGCCCAUGUAAGUAAAGCCUAAACCAGAAUAUCUCACUAAGUAAAGCAUAAGCCAGAAUAUCAACUAAAUGGGAGAAAUUCCUUUCUAUCAGUACUAACCGCAGUACCACAUCCAGGUUUCUAGUGCCAUGAUACCUAAGAAAAAGUCUGAAUUAUCUGACGUAUACUAGGUGAGCAUAUAGAGUCAACCCAAUGAGAAUGAGAUGUUUAGUUGGGAGUGUUUUAUCCAGGCUUGGCAAGGGCAGGAGAAUCAGCCUUUCUUCACAACACAGCAAACCACAGUGGAAUCUCCUGCUGAAAACUUCUGGGUUCGUUCCCAGACAAUAUAUACUAAACCGCAUAUUUUACCCCUCAAACUCCCCUUUUACCCUGUUUCAUCAUACUUAUCUCCGUUUUUUGUUCUGGAGAAACUGAAGUAUCUCAGCUUUUUAAAUUAUUACUUUUUCUAGUUCUGCCUAUUUCAAAUUAUUUCUAGCCAUCUGAUAAGAAUUCUACCUGUUUCAUGAGUCAUGUGUCUAACAUGCUCUUAUUAGAUGAACAGAUUAUGUAUGUUAAGCCCAUUAUGUAUGGACUUAACUGGCUCUCUUUUUCACUAUUUAAUUACCUGGCUGUGCUGGGUCUUACAGCAUGUGGGAUCUUGAGUUGUGGCAUAUAAACUCUUAGUUGUGGCAUAUGGGAUCUAGUUCCCCAAGCAGAGAUUGAACCCAGGUCUCCUGCAUUAGAAGGAGCAUGGAGUCUUAGCCAUGGACCACCAGGGAAAUCCCUUAAUUGGUUUUCUUACUCCUUCACUCAAAAUUCCAUUAACAGCUAGAAUUCAAAUCUUCAAUUACUAAGGGUAUUGCUGUUAUGGACUGGGUAUCUCCCACUCUCACCUGAAACGGUUCCUCAAGAGAUUGUGUCUUACACGUUUUUAAACACCCAGUAUCUAGUAUGAUGCCUGAUAUAUUAAAGUAACCAAUAAGACUUUGUCAGUAAAGCCUUCCCAUUAAGGAAGAUAUUCAAAGGAAUGAGCCACACUGUCUGAAAACAAUGCCAAAAUCCAGUUCUAAGUAUCUUUUAGGUAGCAGCUAUGCUAGAAAAAAUGUUUGAAUUUCCACACUGAUUCCUUUGAAAAGGAUAGCUCUUAUUGCCUGUAUAUGUUGGAUUAUAUUUCCUGAAAUAUGUAGUUAUAUUACUUUAUAAUUCUAUGUUGAAGCC